rnacentral:tRNA from 1 species
GCGGGUGUAGUAUAAUGGUUAUUAUAUGACAUUGCCAAUGUCAAGAAGAGGGUUCGAUUCCCUUCACCCGCUCCA